rnacentral:rRNA from 1 species
AGAGUUUGAUCCUGGCUCAGAAUGAACGCUGGCGGCGUGCUUAACACAUGCAAGUCGAACGAUGAAGCCUAGCUUGCUAGGUGGAUUAGUGGCGCACGGGUGAGUAAUAUAUAGAUAAUGUGCCUCUUAGUCUGGGAUAGCCAUUGGAAACGAUGAUUAAUACUAGAUACUCCUUCUCUUUAUAAUUAGAGUUGGGAAAGUUUUUCGCUAAGAGAUCAGUCUAUAUCCCAUCAGUUAGUUGGUAGGGUAAUGGCCUACCAAGGCAAUGACGGGUAGCGGGUUUGAGAGGAUGAUCCGCCACACUGGUACUGAGACACGGACCAGACUCCUACGGGAGGCAGCAGUGAGGAAUAUUGCACAAUGGAGGAAACUCUGAUGCAGCAACGCCGCGUGGAGGAUGACGCAUUUCGNUGUGUAAACUCCUUUNAUAUGCCNAGAAAAUGACGGNAGCAUAUGAAUAAGCCACCGGCCUAACUCCGUGCCAGCAGCCNCGGUAAUCCGGGGNGUGCNNGCCUUACUCGGAAUCCCUGGGCCGUAANGAGCAUGUNCGCUGNCUUGUAAGNUGGACCUGAAAUCCNAUGGCUNAACCCNUANNACCGGCU